rnacentral:rRNA from 1 species
GGGGGGGGGGGGGGGGGGGGGGGGGGGGGGGGGGGCGGGCGGGGGGGGCGGGGGGUUGGGGGGUGCUCGGGGGGCGGGGGGGUGGGUGGCCCGGGAGUGGCCUGCGCUGGGCGUUGGGCGAACUUCAGGAAACUGGGGCUAAUACCGGGUAGGCGCUCCUGCUGCAUGGGGGGGGUUGGACCGUCUCGGCGGUUGGGGAUGGACGCGCGGCUUAUCAUCUUGUUGGUGGGGUAGUGGCUUACCACGGCUUUGACGGGUAGCCGGCCUGAGAGGGUGACCGGCCACAUUGGGACUGAGAUACGGCCCAGACUCCUACGGGAGGCAGCAGUGGGGAAUAUUGCACAAUGGGCGGAAGCCUGAUGCAGCAACGCCGCGUGCGGGAUGACGGCCUUCGGGUUGUAAACCGCUUUCGCCUGUGACGAAGCGUGAGUGACGGUAAUGGGUAAAGAAGCACCGGCUAACUACGUG